CUACGGGAGGCAGCAGUGGGGAAUCUUGCACAAUGGGCGACAGCCUGAUGCAGCAAUGCCGCGUGAGGGAAGACGGCCUUAGGGUUGUAAACCUCUUUCAGUUGGGAUGAAGGUUGGACGGUGAAUAGCCGCGCCAACUGACCGUACCUUCAGAAGAAGCUCCGGCUAACUACGUGCCAGCAGCCGCGGUAAUACGUAGGGGGCGAGCGUUGUCCGGAAUCAUUGGGCGUAAAGCGCGUGUAGGCGGUUUCGUAAGUCUGCUGUGAAAGUCGGAGGCUCAACCUUCGAAUGCCAGUGGAUACUGCGAGACUUGAGUCCGGAAGAGGAGAGUGGAAUUCCUGGUGUAGCGGUGAAAUGCGCAGAUAUCAGGAGGAACACCAACGGCGAAGGCAGCUCUCUGGGACGGUACUGACGCUGAGACGCGAAAGCGUGGGGAGCAAACAGGAUUAGAUACCCGUGUAGUCC
rnacentral:rRNA from 1 species